rnacentral:rRNA from 1 species
UAGGGAAUCUUCCGCAAUGGACGCAAGUCUGACGGAGCAACGCCGCGUGAGUGAAGAAGGAUUUCGGUUCGUAAAACUCUGUUGUUAGAGAAGAACAGCGCAUAGAGUAACUGUUAUGCGUGUGACGGUAUCUAACCAGAAAGCCACGGCUAACUACGUGCCAGCAGCCGCGGUAAUACGUAGGUGGCAAGCGUUGUCCGGAUUUAUUGGGCGUAAAGCGAGCGCAGGCGGUCAAUUAAGUCUGAUGUGAAAGCCCCCGGCUCAACCGGGGAGGGUCAUUGGCAACUGGUUGACUUGAGUGCCGAAGAGGAGAGUGGAAUUCCAUGUGUAGCGGUGAAAUGCGUAGAUAUAUGGAGGAACACCAGUGGCGAAGGCGACUCUCUGGUCUGUAACUGACGCUGAGGCUCGAAAGCGUGGGUAGCAAACAGG